ACGUCGCAUGNNCCCGGCCGCCAUGGCCGCGGGAUUCGAUUAAGCCAUGCGAGUCAUAUGUUCUUCGUGAACAUGGCGUACUGCUCAGUAACACGUGGAUAACCUGCCCUUGGGACCGGGAUAACCCCGGGAAACUGGGGAUAAUACCGGAUAACGCAUAUCUGCUGGAAUGCUUUAUGCGUAAAAUGGAUUUGUCUGCCCAAGGAUGGGUCUGCGGCCUAUCAGGUAGUAGUGGGUGUAAUGUACCUACUAGCCUACGACGGGUACGGGUUGUGAGAGCAAGAGCCCGGAGAUGGAUUCUGAGACAUGAAUCCAGGCCCUACGGGGCGCAGCAGGCGCGAAAACUUUACAAUGCGGGAAACCGUGAUAAGGGGACACCGAGUGCCAGCAUCAUAUGUUGGCUGUCCAGAUGUGUAAAAUACAUCUGUUAGCAAGGGCCGGGCAAGACCGGUGCCAGCCGCCGCGGUAACACCGGCGGCCCGAGUGGUGAUCGUGAUUAUUGGGUCUAAAGGGUCCGUAGCCGGUUUGGUCAGUCCUCCGGGAAAUCUGACGGCUCAACCGUUAGGCUUUCGGUGGAUACUGCCAGACUUGGAACCGGGAGAGGUAAGAGGUACUACAGGGGUAGGAGUGAAAUCUUGUAAUCCCUGUGAGACCACCUGUGGCGAAGGCGUCUUACCAGAACGGGUUCGACGGUGAGGGACGAAAGCUGGGGGCACGAACCGGAUUAGAUACCCGGGUAGUCCCAGCCGUAAACGAUGCUCGCUAGGUGUCAGGCAUGGCGCGACCGUGUCUGGUGCCGCAGGGAAGCCGUGAAGCGAGCCACCUGGGAAGUACGGCCGCAAGGCUGAAACUUAAAGGAAUUGGCGGGGGAGCAAAUCACUAGUGCGGCCGCCUGCAGGUCGACCAUAUGGGAGAGCUC
rnacentral:rRNA from 1 species